rnacentral:rRNA from 1 species
UACGUAGGGGGCAAGCGUUGUCCGGAUUUAUUGGGCGUAAAGAGCGUGUAGGCGGCCAGAUAGGUCGGUUGUGAAAACUGGAGGCUCAACCUCCAGACGUCGACCGAAACCCUCUGGCUAGAGUCCGGAAGAGGAGAAUGGAAUUCCUGGCGUAGCGGUGAAAUGCGCAGAUAUCAGGAAGAACACCCGUGGCGAAGGCGGUUCUCUGGGACGGUACUGACGCUGAGACGCGAAAGCGUGGGGAGCGAACAGG